rnacentral:rRNA from 1 species
CCUANGGGAGGCUGCAGUCGAGAAUCUUUGGCAAUGGGCGCAAGCCUGACCAAGCGACGCCGCGUGGGGGAUGAAGGCCUUCGGGUCGUAAACCCCUGUUGGGGCGUAUGAUGCGGGGAAGUGCUAAUACCAUUUUUCCGUGACUUAAAGCCCUGAGGAAGCCACGGCUAACUCUGUGCCAGCAGCCGCGGUAAGACAGAGGUGGCAAGCGUUGUUCGGAUUCACUGGGUUUAAAGAGCACGUAGGCGGUCGGCCAUGUCCGGUGUGAAAUCCCCCGGCCCAACCGGGGAACUGCGCCGGAGACUAUCCGACGCGAGGGCAGGAGAGGAGAGUGGAACUCCAGGUGUAGCGGUGAAAUGCGUAGAUAUCUGGAGGAACGCCGGAGGCGAAAGCGACUCUCUGGACUGUCCCUGACGCUGUGGUGCGAAAGCCAGGGGAGCGAACGGGAUUAGAUACCCGUNUANUC